rnacentral:lncRNA from 1 species
GUUGCCACACCCCCUUCACAUGGCGACCAACUUACUGCAAAACCAUCUACUGACCAUCCUGGUCUUGUCUCUGUUUCCUCGCUGAAACCAGCUGACACUGUGGGUGAUCAUGUUGCCACACCACCUGCAAAUGGCGACCAACUUACUGCAAAACCAUCUACUGACCAUCCUGGUCUCGUCUCCAUUUCCUCACUGAAACCAGCUGACGCUGUGGGUGAUCUUGUUGCCACACCACCUUCAACUGCCGACCAACUUACUGCGAAACCAUCUGCUGAAGAAUGGGAUGGUCUCGUCUCCGUUUCCUCACUGAAACCAGCUGAAGUAGUGGGCGAUCAUGUUGCAACACCUACUUCAAAUGCCGACCAACUUAAUCACACUUCCCC